CUACGGGUCGCUCCAGUGGGGAAUAUUGCACAAUGGGCGCAAGCCUGAUGCAGCCAUGCCGCGUGUAUGAAGAAGGCCUUCGGGUUGUAAAGUACUUUCAGCGGGGAGGAAGGGAGUAAAGUUAAUACCUUUGCUCAUUGACGUUACCCGCAGAAGAAGCACCGGCGAACUCCGUGCCAGCAGCCGCGGUAAUACGGAGGGUGCAAGCGUUAAUCGGAAUUACUGGGCGUAAAGCGCACGCAGGCGGUUUGUUAAGUCAGAUGUGAAAUCCCCGGGCUCAACCUGGGAACUGCAUCUGAUACUGGCAAGCUUGAGUCUCGUAGGGGGGGGUAGAAUUCCAGGUGUAGCGGUGAAAUGCGUAGAGAUCUGGAGGAAUACCGGUGGCGAAGGCGGCCCCCUGGACGAAGACUGACGCUCAGGUGCGAAAGCGUGGGGAGCAAACAGGAUUAGAUACCCCCGUAGUC
rnacentral:rRNA from 1 species